CCUACGGGGGGCAGCAGUGAGGAAUAUUGGUCAAUGGGCGCGAGCCUGAACCAGCCAAGUCGCGUGAAGGAUGACUGCCCUACGUGUUGUAAACUUCUUUUAUAAAGGAAUAAAGUCAGGCACUUGUGCCUGUUUGUGUGUACUUUAUGAAUAAGCAUCGGCUAACUCCGUGCCAGCAGCCGCGGUAAUACGGAGGAUCCGAGCGUUAUCCGGAUUUAUUGGGUUUAAAGGGAGCGUAGAUGGGUUGUUAAGUCAGUUGUGAAAGUUUGCGGCUCAACCGUAAGAGAGCAAUUGAUACUGGCAGGCGUGAGUACAGUUGAGGUAGGCGGAAUUCGUGGUGUAGCGGUGAAAUGCUUAGAUAUCACGAAGAACCCCGAUUGCGAAGGCAGCUUACUAAACUGCCACUGACAUUGAGGCUCGAAAGUGUGGGUAUCAAACAGGAUUAGAUACCCCUGUAGUC
rnacentral:rRNA from 1 species